GCAGUGGUGGUUCAGUGGUAGAAUUCUUGCCUUCCAUGCAGGAGACCUGGGUUCAAUUCCCAGCCAAUGCA
rnacentral:tRNA from 1 species